rnacentral:rRNA from 1 species
UACGAAGGGUGCAAACGUUGCUCGGAAUUAUUGGGCGUAAAGGGCUCGUAGGCGGUUUGUCGCGUCGGGAGUGAAAACCAGGUGCUUAACACCUGGCUUGCUUUCGAUACGGGCAGACUAGAGGUAUUCAGGGGAGAACGGAAUUCCUGGUGUAGCGGUGAAAUGCGCAGAUAUCAGGAGGAACACCGGUGGCGAAGGCGGUUCUCUGGGAAUGACCUGACGCUGAGGAGCGAAAGUGUGGGGAGCGAACAGG